CUCCAUUUUUAUCAAGGCGAUUUUUCUGUAUCUGUUGUAGAUAGUGAAACGAUCUGAAUUUUGGAGAGUAUUUCCAACAAUAAUACAUCCAUGUCUCAAACAACUCGUUUCAGGCUUGGGAAUAUGUACCAGAGGUCCAGGCAUGAAGUACAGAUCAAUGGGGUGAGGCAAAGUCUGUCAGGCAUUACUAAUGUUGAAUUCGUUGCAGACGGGGUUGUCGAAUUUGAACACAGCUCAACAAUAACACCCGAGCAGAUCGGAAACGAGCUGAAAAAACUGAGAUUGCGGCCCACUCUUCUCACGGUUGUACUAAAGCAAUGAUGGAUGGAAUAAACGGAGCCAAAUUCGACGGUCGACUCUGCCAACUGCCAAGCAUAUCAGCAGUGUCAAGUGCAAAAGCUUUUUGUUAUGGCUUCUGUUUUAGUAAAGGAAACAACAAAUAUAGAUGAGAUUGUACUUCCAGUUCCAAUUUGCAGUGCAUUGUAGUUUCGUUAUUUCUGUGCACAAUAAGGAAAGCUUCUUUUGAUAAUCAACAGUG